rnacentral:rRNA from 1 species
GAUGAACGCUGGCGGCGUGCCUAAUACAUGCAAGUCGAGCGAACAGAUGAGGAGCUUGCUCCUCUGACGUUAGCGGCGGACGGGUGAGUAACACGUGGAUAACCUACCUAUAAGACUGGGAUAACUUCGGGAAACCGGAGCUAAUACCGGAUAAUAUAUUGAACCGCAUGGUUCAAUAGUGAAAGACGGUUUUGCUGUCACUUAUAGAUGGAUCCGCGCCGCAUUAGCUAGUUGGUAAGGUAACGGCUUACCAAGGCAACGAUGCGUAGCCGACCUGAGAGGGUGAUCGGCCACACUGAAACUGAGCCACGGUCCAGACCCCUACGGGAGGCAGCGGUAGGGAAUCUUCCGCAUGGGGCGAAGGCCUAACGGGGCAACGCCGCGGAGGUAAUGAGGGUCUUCGGUUCGUAAAACUCUGUUAUUGGGAAAGAACAAAUGUGUAAGUAACUAUGCACGUCUUGACGGUACCUAAUCAGAAAGCCACGGCUAACUACGU